CUCAAAUUGAAAGAAAAAAUGAGGAUUAAAAAAUCACUUUUGAUGCAGUUUUUUGAGCUAAAUGUACCACAGACUCCUGGAUUUGUGCUUUAGACUCAGGUAUGCAUCUGAGUGCA